rnacentral:lncRNA from 1 species
GACAGCCAAUCAGCCGUCAUAAAAGUUUGUACGCAAACUUUUGAUAUCCAAAAUGGAGAGUGCCAAGGAAUUGCUUUGCGAUUGAGGGUUCGAGUCACGUCAGCCGUCAAAAUUUUGAGGAGGCCUAUGGAGCUGAGUGAGGAUGAGGAUCCAGUUUUGCAAGAUAAAACGACACCAAAACCAAGAAAGAGGGUCAGAUGCCCCUAUGAAUUUGAUGUUGAAAGGUAGAAACGGAAGGGGCUUGCUGGAGGCAUUAACUCGAGGAUGGGUUCUAAACAACAGCGAGAGAUUCAACUCAAAAUUCUAAACAACAGCGAGAGAUUCAACUCAAAAUUCAACUCAACUGAGUGUUGGUUAGCCAUCUAAUUGAAGAGCAUUGAUGGAACCCACCAUCACAAGUGAAGGAAAGCCUUGCGCACAGCCUUGUGGAUCAAUUCAAAAUUUUGAAGGACAUCAACGGAAUCACAGGGAAGGAACAUCCAUUGAAUAUUAUUUGGCCUAUCUUGAUGCAAAGGAUCAACCACAGCCUUUCUUGUUGAUCCUUGGAGGCACCCGGUGGAAACCGAGCCAGGUUUUGUCAUUGUCGAGCGUAACACCGUCCAGUGUACAUGUACUUCCAUCAUGCAAGCUAUAGACGUCUGCUUUAAGUUAACCUAUGUGCUGGAUGUUGACUACCACACCCAGUGUUCUCCUGCAUGGCAAAUAUGCUCCAGCAAUUGGUGUAUGAAUUGCCUCCCGGUGCUUUGAGUGGUGUUGUCCUGCUCAGCUUUUGAACUUUGCUGGGCAACAUCAAGAAGGAAUUUUAGUCUGAAUAGGCAGCAUUCAGUACUAAGGAAGCAAGUAACAGUAGUUUUGUAUUAAAUAGGCGAUUUCUCUU